rnacentral:tRNA from 1 species
UCCCUAGUAGUCCAGUGGCUAGAACUCUGCACUCCCAAUGCAAGGGGCCUGGGUUCAACCCCUGUGUAGGAA